rnacentral:rRNA from 1 species
CACGUAGGAUGCAAGCGUUAUUCGGAUUUACUGGGCGUAAAGCGCGUGUAGGCGGUUAGGAGAGUUGGAUGUGAAAGCUCCCGGCUUAACUGGGAGAGGUCGUUCAAAACUUCCUGACUAGAGUUUGGUAGAGGAAAAUGGAAUUCCGGGUGUAGUGGUGAAAUGCGUAGAUAUCCGGAGGAACACCAGUGGCGAAAGCGAUUUUCUGGACCGAUACUGACGCUCAGACGCGAAAGCUAGGGUAGCAAACGGGAUUAGAGACCCCGGUAGUCCUAGCCGUAAACGAUGUAGACUUGGCGUUGGUGGAGUAAAAUUCAUCAGUGCCGAAGCAAACGCGAUAAGUCUACCGCCUGGGGAGUACGGCCGCAAGGUUAAA